rnacentral:lncRNA from 1 species
AUGUUUAUAGGCAUUGGCUGAGGGAGAAGCGAGCAUAUAGCUGCUCCUGCUUGAUAAGGAAAGCAAGAGGAGAGGGUGCUGGACGUCAUGGCAUCCAAAGACACCGUCGCGACUGCUUUUCUCACCGUGAGUCGGGAAAUGACAGAGAGCAUCAGACGAGUUAUCGACAAGACAUCUAUCAAGUUGGUGAGAGCUAUCAAAGUAGAGAACAAGAGUGGCAAAUCAGAAGAUCGGAUUCUGGUAAGGCACUGCAUUUAACUAUCCAUAUGUUCUUAAAAGAACAGUUGACGCAAAUUAAAAUUGUGUCGUGUUUACCAUCAGGUUGUUCCAAAUUUUCUUUCAGUAUAUUUGAUUAUGUAUGUGUGAUAAAUUGUUGGACAUGUGUCAUGUGCAUAUGUAUCCAUCAUAAAACAUAUAUAUUUAUGUUCUAAAUAUAAAUAACAGCAUAUGUGACCCUGGACCACAAAACCAAUCUUAAGUCGCUGGGGUAUAUUUUAAGCAAUAGCCAAAAAAACAUUGUAUGGGUCAAAAUUAUCGAUUUUUCUUUUAUGUCAAAAAUCAUUAGGAUAUUAAGUAAAGAUCAUGUUCCAUGAAGAUAUUUCCUACCGUAAAUAUAUAGAAACUCAACUUUUGUUUAGUAAUAUGCAUUGCUAAGAAUUCAUUAGGACAACUUCAAAGGCGAUCUUCUUCUAGUUUAAUUUUUUUUUUUUUGUCUACCCUCUUCGUAUAGUCUGUAUUUUUUUAGCUUAUUUUAUAGUAUAUAUAUAUAUAUAGUAUAUAUAUAUAUAUAGUGUGUGUGUGUGUGUGUGUGUGUGUGUGUGUGUGUGUGUGUGUGUGUGUGUGUGUGUGUGUGUAUAUAUAUAUAUAUAUAUAAACUGCCCAUCCAAAAAAAAAGUCACACACUCUAAUAUUUCGUAGGACUGCCUUUAGCUUUGAUUAUGGCACGCAUUCGCCAUGGCAUCAUUUCGAUAAGCUUCUGCAAUGUCACAACAUUUAUUCCCGUCCAUAGUUGCAUUAACUUUUUGCCAAGUUCUUGUAUUGACAAAGGGAGAGUCGGACCGCUGCGCAAAGUUUUCCCAAAGACACAUCCCAAAAAUUCUCAAUGGGGUAAAGGUCUGACUCUGUGGUGGCCAAUCCAUGUGUGAAAAUGAUGUUGCAUGCUCACUGAACCACUCUUUCACAAUUUGAGCCCGAUGAAUCCUGGCAUUGUCUUCUUGGAAUAUGCCCAUCCCAUCAGGGAAGAAAAAAUUAAUUGAUGGAAUAACCUGGUCAUUCAGUAUAUUCGGGUAGUUAGCUGACCUCAUUCAUCCCACGGGCACAUAACAUAAUCAUCCAUGCAGUAAUUAUCCAGUGGGAGGAUCUUAACUAUUUGCUUAGUUAAAUCCAGGUGGUGACUUUUUUUUGGAUGGGCAGUGUAUGUGUGUGUGUGUGUGUUGUAUAAUACAUUUCAGUAUAAUUCUUUAUUUACAUAUAAUUACAAAGAGACCUGAAGCUUUCAGGGCUCAAUAAAAAAAAGAUGACAAAGCACCAUAAAGAGCCACAGAGACACAUAACAUAAUCAUCAUGCAGUAAUUAUCCAGUGGGAGGAUCUUAACUAUUUGCUUAGUUAAAUCCAG